rnacentral:rRNA from 1 species
UACGAAGGGGCUAGCGUUGCUCGGAAUUACUGGGCGUAAAGGGAGCGUAGGCGGACAUUUAAGUCAGAGGUGAAAUCCCGGAGCUUAACUUCGGAACUGCCUUUGAUACUGGGUGUCUUGAGUGUGAGAGAGGUAUGUGGAACUCCGAGUGUAGAGGUGAAAUUCGUAGAUAUUCGGAAGAAACACCAGUGGCGAAGGCGACAUACUGGCUCAUUACUG